rnacentral:rRNA from 1 species
UAAGGCGCUCAGCCGAGCGGUACUAAUUGCCCAGUAGAGCUCCGAGAGGGCCGCGCCCUUAGCGGGCAGACGCCGCUUCGUCCGAAGAAUGUCAAAAUACCAGACAUUAGAUAUGAGAUAUUAGAUUUUAGAUGGCUAACGCCAGAAAGGUCUAACAUCUAGGUACUAAAAUCUAACGUCUAAAAGAAACCUGGCGAUGUCCUAUACGGACGUAAGCCGAAAAGACUUAGGUGGCUAGGCGGCGGGGCUCCACCCCUUCCCAUUCCGAACAGGGCCGUUAAGCCCGCCAGCGCCGAUGGUACUGCUACACCAAGCGGGAGAGUAGGUGGCCGCCAAAC